GACGAACGCUGGCGGCGUGCUUAACACAUGCAAGUCGAACGGAAAGGCCCUGCUUUUGUGGGGUGCUCGAUUGGCGAACGGGUGAGUAACACGUGAGUAACCUGCCCUUGACUUUGGUAUAACUUCAGGAAACUGGGGCUAAUACCGUAUAGGAGCUCCUGCUGCAGGGUGGGGGUUGGAAAGUUUCGGCGGUUGGGGAUGGACUCGCGGCUGAUCAGCUUGCUGGUGGGGUAGUUGCUUACCAAGGCUUUGACGGGUAGCCCGCAUGAGAGGGUGACCGGCGACCAUGGGACUAAGAUACGGAGCAGACUCCUACAGGAGGCAGCAGUGGCAAAUAUUGCACAAUGGGAGGAAGUCUGAUGCAGCGACGCUGCGUGCGGGAUGACGGCCUUCGGGUUGUGAACCGCUUUAGCCUGUGACGAAGCGUGAGUGACGGUAAUGGAUAAAGAAGCACCGGCUAACUACGUG
rnacentral:rRNA from 1 species